rnacentral:pre_miRNA from 1 species
AGCAAAAUUGUUGGGUUAUAUGGUGUGUGUUUACUUUGUAAGAAACUGUCAAAUUAUCUUCCAAAGUUGCUGUACCAUUUUGCACUCCUACUAGCAAU